rnacentral:rRNA from 1 species
AUUGAACGCUGGCGGCAGGCCUAACACAUGCAAGUCGAGCGGAUGAAGGGAGCUUGCUCCUGGAUUCAGCGGCGGACGGGUGAGUAAUGCCUAGGAAUCUGCCUGGUAGUGGGGGAUAACGUCCGGAAACGGGCGCUAAUACCGCAUACGUCCUGAGGGAGAAAGUGGGGGAUCUUCGGACCUCACGCUAUCAGAUGAGCCUAGGUCGGAUUAGCUAGUUGGUGGGGUAAAGGCCUACCAAGGCGACGAUCCGUAACUGGUCUGAGAGGAUGAUCAGUCAAAACGGAAAUGGGAAACGGGCCAGACUCCUAAGGGAGGCAGCAGUUGGGAAUAUUGGAAAAUGGGCGAAAGCCUGAUCCAGCCAUGGCGCGGGUGGGAAGAAGGUCUUCGGAUUGUAAAGCACUUUAAGGUGGGAGGAAGGGCAGUAAGUUAAUACCUUGCUGGUUUGACGUUACCAACAGAAUAAGCACCGGCUAACUUCGUG